rnacentral:rRNA from 1 species
AACGAACGCUGGCGGCAUGCCUAACACAUGUAAGUCGAACGAUGCCUUCGGGCAUAGUGGCGCACGGGUGCGUAACGCGUGGGAAUCUGCCUUUCGGUUCGGAAUAACUCAGGGAAACUUGAGCUAAUACCGGAUAACGUCGCAAGACCAAAGAUUUAUCACCGAAAGAUGAGCCCGCGUAGGAUUAGCUAGUUGGUGAGGUAAAGGCUCACCAAGGCGACGAUCCUUAGCUGGUCUGAGAGGAUGAUCAGCCACACUGGGACUGAGACACGGCCCAGACUCCUACGGGAGGCAGCAGUGGGGAAUAUUGGACAAUGGGCGAAAGCCUGAUCCAGCAAUGCCGCGUGAGUGAUGAAGGCCUUAGGGUUGUAAAGCUCUUUUACCCGGGAAGAUAAUGACGGUACCGGGAGAAUAAGCCCCGGCUAACUCCGUG